AACGAACGCUGGCGGCAUGCCUAACACAUGCAAGUCGAACGAGACCUUCGGGUCUAGUGGCGCACGGGUGCGUGACGCGUGGGAACCUGCCCUUAGGUUCGGAAUAACUCCCCGAAAGGGGUGCUAAUACCGGAUAAUGUCCUCGGACCAAAGAUUUAUCGCCUUUGGAUGGGCCCGCGUUGGAUUAGCUAGGUGGUAGGGUAAAAGCCUACCAAGGCGACGAUCCAUAGCUGGUCUGAGAGGAUGAUCAGCCACACUGGGACUGAGACACGGCCCAGACUCCUACGGGAGGCAGCAGUGGGGAAUAUUGGACAAUGGGCGAAAGCCUGAUCCAGCAAUGCCGCGUGAGUGAUGAUGGCCGUAGGGUUGUAAAGCUCUUUUACCCGGGAUGAUAAUGACAGUACCGGAAGAAUAAGCUCCGGCUAACUCCGUG
rnacentral:rRNA from 1 species